CAUCUACUCCCUCCGUCCGAAAAUACUUGUCAGAGAAAUGGAUAAAAGUGAAUGUAUCUAGAAUUAAAAUACAUCUAGAUAUAUCUCUUUCUCCGACAUGUAUUUUCGGACGGAGGGAGUAUGUU
rfam:Triticum aestivum genome assembly, contig: Triticum_aestivum_CS42_TGACv1_scaffold_148446_2BS